UACGUAGGGGGCAAGCGUUAUCCGGAUUUACUGGGUGUAAAGGGGGCGCAGACGGCGAUGCAAGCCAGGAGUGAAAGCCCGGGGCCCAACCCCGGGACUGCUCUUGGAACUGCGUGGCUGGAGUGCAGGAGGGGCAGGCGGAAUUCCUGGUAUAGCGGUGAAAUGCGUAGAUAUCAGGAGGAACACCGGUGGCGAAGGCGGCCUGCUGGACUGCAACUGACGUUGAGGCCCGAAAGCGUGGGGAGCAAAUAGG
rnacentral:rRNA from 1 species